rnacentral:lncRNA from 1 species
CAGUGCACACCCCUAAAUGGUAUUGAAGAGCAUCAAGGGUACAUGCAGAAGCUAAGUCUGCUUCUUUGGUAGUUCCUUUGAAUUCGUCUAGUAUCAUAUGGCAUUUCUAUGACACUUUUAUUUUUUAUCUGAGCAACGUAAGUACACCUUUGCCCUUACGUGGCAAAGUAGGUUUCUGUAGAGUGUAAGGAAAAUGCAUUUCUGGUUCUAAUAUCACUAUGAAGAACUUUCAGUGAAGAGGAAGAGGCAGUGGUCUAUAUACAGACUAAAAACGUAUUGUUCAUAAAGUUCAAAGACAGAUGGAAUUUUAUUGCACUUGAAGAUACAAACUAGAUUGAGGUUAAUGAUUUUCUCUGAUUUUGCUAACUAGCAAAUUGAGAAUAAUUUGCUUAAGGAGUGUUGUUUUCUCACAAAAGGACAAAAUUGAAAACCUCUAUGCCUUUCAAUUAAGAAUAUAAAAGGUUAAAAUAAAGCCAUUUCUUUAAGUUUAAUAGUGUUUUAUAUUGAGAAACAGUUCCUGUUUAAUUUUCUGGACAUAAUGUCAGUCAAGAUCUAUUUUCUGUGAAUAAGCCAGUUUAAGUCUUUAUCCACAAUCCAUUUGUGUUGCAUAAGGUUGCAAAAACAAUUAAGUGGGAAAUGACUCCUAACUUAUGUGUCUACUCUGCCUGGAAAGAAAGUUUUGAAGGCAUCUAUAUAUAUUUCAUAACAAUGUCUGUUCUUUAUGGAUUUGAUCCAUAAAUAUUUAUCUAUCUGAAAACUUUGAUACUUGGAAUGUUUUCCUUAAAGCAUUUGGUGCUCCAAGAAGAAACAUUUGGUGCUAAGAGUUACAGCACUGAUGUCUUUCCCCAAGUUAAUUCUAUUUUAAAUUUUUAAAUUUCCUUCCCAAUGAGAUGCAGAGUAAAAUUUGAGACCCUCCAUUAAGUGGGGAGCAGCAUCUGUCAUCUAUGGAUAAUUACUAUUUUGGCAAAAAUAUAUAAGGUUUGAACGUUCUACAUUUUAAAUUGUUAGAAAGGAAAUGACUUGCUUAUAUUUUUCCUGAAUUAUAUUCUAACC